UCCUGUUAGCGGUGACUCUGUGGAUGUGU
rnacentral:piRNA from 1 species